rnacentral:rRNA from 1 species
AACGAACGCUGGCGGCAUGCCUAACACAUGCAAGUCGAACGAGACCUUCGGGUCUAGUGGCGCACGGGUGCGUAACGCGUGGGAACCUGCCCUUAGGUUCGGAAUAACUCCCCGAAAGGGGUGCUAAUACCGGAUAAUAUCUUCGGACCAAAGAUUUAUCGCCUUUGGAUGGGCCCGCGUUGGAUUAGCUAGUUGGUAGGGUAAAAGCCUACCAAGGCGACGAGCCAUAACUGGUCUGAGAGGAUGAUCAGCCACACUGGGACUGAGACACGGCCCAGACUCCUACGGGAGGCAGCAGUGGGGAAUAUUGGACAAUGGGCGAAAGCCUGAUCCAGCAAUGCCGCGUGAGUGAUGAAGGCCUUAGGGUUGUAAAGCUCUUUUACCCGGGAUGAUAAUGACAGUACCGGGAGAAUAAGCUCCGGCUAACUCCGUG